rnacentral:rRNA from 1 species
GUGGGGAAUCUUGCGCAAUGGGCGAAAGCCUGACGCAGCCAUGCCGCGUGAAUGAUGAAGGUCUUAGGAUUGUAAAAUUCUUUCACCGGGGACGAUAAUGACGGUACCCGGAGAAGAAGCUCCGGCUAACUUCGUGCCAGCAGCCGCGGUAAUACGAAGGGGGCUAGCGUUGCUCGGAAUUACUGGGCGUAAAGGGAGCGUAGGCGGAUAGUUUAGUCAGAGGUGAAAGCCCAGGGCUCAACCUUGGAAUUGCCUUUGAUACUGGCUAUCUUGAGUAUGGAAGAGGUAUGUGGAACUCCGAGUGUAGAGGUGAAAUUCGUAGAUAUUCGGAAGAACACCAGUGGCGAAGGCGACAUACUGGUCCAUUACUGACGCUGAGGCUCGAAAGCGUGGGGAGCAAACAGGAUUAGAUACCCUGGUAGUCC